GAUGAACGCUGGCGGCGUGCCUAAUACAUGCAAGUCGAGCGAACGGACGAGAAGCUUGCUUCUCUGAUGUUAGCGGCGGACGGGUGAGUAACACGUGGAUAACCUACCUAUAAGACUGGGAUAACUUCGGGAAACCGGAGCUAAUACCGGAUGAUAUUUUGAACCGCAUGGUUCAAAAGUGAAAGACGGUCUUGCUGUCACUUAUAGAUGGAUCCGCGCUGCAUUAGCUAGUUGGUAAGGUAACGGCUUACCAAGGCAACGAUGCAUAGCCGACCUGAGAGGGGGAUCGGCCACACUGGAACGGAGACCCGGCCCAGACCCCUACGGGAGGCAGCAGUAGGGAAUCUUCCGCAAUGGGCGAAAGCCGGACGGAGCAACGCCGCGUGAGUGAUGAAGGUUUUCGGAUCGUAAAACUUUUUUAUUAGGGAAAAAAAAAUGUGUAAGUAACUGUGCACAUCUUGACGGUACCAAAUCAGAAAGCCACGGCAAACUCCGU
rnacentral:rRNA from 1 species